GACGAACGCUGGCGGCGUGCUUAACACAUGCAAGUCGAACGGAAAGGCCCUGCUUUUGUGGGGUGCUCGAGUGGCGAACGGGUGAGUAACACGUGAGUAACCUGCCCUUGACUUUGGGAUAACUUCAGGAAACUGGGGCUAAUACCGGAUAGGAGCUCCUGCUGCAUGGUGGGGGUUGGAAAGUUUCGGCGGUUGGGGAUGGACUCGCGGCUUAUCAGCCUGUUGGUGGGGUAGUGGCUUACCAAGGCCUUGACGGGUAGCCGGCCUGAGAGGGUGACCGGCCACAGUGGGACUGAGAUACGGCCCAGACUCCUACGGGAGGCAGCAGUGGGGAAUAUUGCACAAUGGGCGGAAGCCUGAUGCAGCAACGCCGCGUGCGGGAUGACGGCCUUCGGGUUGUAAACCGCUUUCGCCUGUGACGAAGCGUGAGUGACGGUAAGGGGUAAAGAAGCACCGGCUAACUACGUG
rnacentral:rRNA from 1 species